AAUGGGCGCAAGCCUGAUGCAGCGACGCCGCGUGAGGGAUGACGGCCUUCGGGUUGUAAACCUCUUUCAGCAGGGAAGAAGCGCAAGUGACGGUACCUGCAGAAGAAGCGCCGGCUAACUACGUGCCAGCAGCCGCGGUAAUACGUAGGGCGCAAGCGUUGUCCGGAAUUAUUGGGCGUAAAGAGCUCGUAGGCGGCUUGUCGCGUCGGUUGUGAAAGCCCGGGGCUUAACCCCGGGU
rnacentral:rRNA from 1 species